rnacentral:rRNA from 1 species
GUGGGGAAUAUUGGACAAUGGGCGAAAGCCUGAUCCAGCCAUGCCGCGUGUGUGAAGAAGGUCUUCGGAUUGUAAAGCACUUUAAGUUGGGAGGAAGGGCAGUAAGUUAAUACCUUGCUGUUUUGACGUUACCGACAGAAUAAGCACCGGCUAACUUCGUGCCAGCAGCCGCGGUAAUACGAAGGGUGCAAGCGUUAAUCGGAAUUACUGGGCGUAAAGCGCGCGUAGGUGGUUCAGCAAGUUGGAGGUGAAAUCCCCGGGCUCAACCUGGGACCUGCCUCCAAAACUGCAUGACUAGAGUACGGUAGAGGGUAGUGGAAUUUCCUGUGUAGCGGUGAAAUGCGUAGAUAUAGGAAGGAACACCAGUGGCGAAGGCGACUACCUGGACUGAUACUGACACUGAGGUGCGAAAGCGUGGGGAGCAAACAGGAUUAGAAACCCCGGUAGUCC